rnacentral:ncRNA from 1 species
UGGUCCCGACCUUGAAAUCAAUUUUUACUUAACUUACACAUGCAAGUCUCCGCACCCCUGUGAGAACGCCCUAAAACCCCCUAACUCGGGGUAAGGAGCCGGUAUCAGGCUCAUUUAAUAGCCCAUGACACCUAGCCUCGCCACACCCACAAGGGAAUUCAGCAGUGAUUAAAAUUGAAAAUAAGCGCAAGCUUGACUCAAUUAAGGUAAAAAGAGCCGGCAAAUCUGGUGCCAGCCGCCGCGGCUAUACCACGAGGCUCAAAUUGAUAUUCCUCCGGCGUAAAGAGUGAUUUAAGCCACCUCAAUCUUGUAGUCAAACUGGGAUUAAACUGUGAUAACCUUAUACCCGGGAAGAUCAAACACGAAAGUUACUACAACCAAAACAACUUGAACUCACGACAGCUAAGACACAAACUGGGAUUAGAUACCCCACUAUGCCUAGCCGUAAACUUUAACUUACACCGAAAUCGCCAGGGAACUACGAGCAAAGCUUAAAACCCAAAGGACUUGACGGUGCCCCACAUCCACCUAGAGGAGCCUGUCCUAUAAUCGAUAACCCCCGUUAAACCUCACCACUUUUAGCCUAACAGCCUGUAUACCUCCGUCGUCAGCUUACCACGUGAGCGAUUUCCAGUAAGCGCGAGGUCCAAACGCCAAAACGUCAGGUCAAGGUGCAGCAUAUGAAGUGGGAAGAGAUGGGCUACACUCUCUAGCUUAGAGAACACGGAAGACUAUUUAUGAAACCUAGUCUAAAGGCGGAUUUAGUAGUAAAAAGAGAAAAGAGAGCUCUUUUUAACAUGGCACUGGGGUGUGUACACACCGCCCGUCACCCUCUUCAAAGCCGAUAAGCAGUAUUUAACAUAUUUAGGACACAAAGAAGAGGUAAGUCGUAACAUGGUAAGUGUACCGGAAGGUGCACUUGGAAA